AAUUUUUCAAAAAAUAAAAAUCAAAUUUCUUUAGAAUAGAAAUUCAAUUUUUCUAUAUCUAGAUUCGAUUCAUUCUUUCAUUGUAUUUUGAUUUCCUUCUAUAUAUUCUUAUCCAGAUAGAUUGGCGGAGGUGGGGAUGAUUUUAACCAUGCGGAACAAGCCACGUGUCGUUAAGCAGCGCGCGCUUAUGAUACACAGUUCCGCGAAACUCGGUCGGUCGGAUGCUGAACCAUGUAGGGCGUAGGCCGGAUUUCGCUUCGAGAAUCCGAUUGCACUGGUACUUGUAAUUAGUGAAAUGCAUAGCAACGCAUGCUUUAUUAUCAUUACGUCACGAGAUCUACAUCCUUUAUUAGAACUCUACUCAAGUUCCUGAUAAUGACAUUACAUAUUUUUUCGGAUCUUCUUCACUAUAUUCUCUCUCCGUCAAUUCGGUUCGUCUCUCUUCAUCUACAGAUUUAUUCUUUCGGAUCUUUACGCUCUAUUACGCGUUGAGUUCUCAUCAACUUUAUCUCGAACAUUCGGAUAUGCAUGUUAUCUUGAGAUUGAAGCCGGAAAUGAAUUGAAGCUCAUUUUUGUCUCGAAAUUUUUCAUGUUUUUACUUCGUUUCUCUUGAAUUGUAUUCUCUCUGAAGUGAAGUUUAUUUGAAAUGAAUCGAGGAAAGAAUGGUUGACAAUGCCCGUAAUUUUUGCCCACAAGUAAGAAAUCAAUACUCUGAUACGGUUAUAAAUCCACAAGAUGGCGACAGAACGCGCGUAUCGUGUUUGAUCUUUCGCGCAUGGUGGAAUGGAGGUAGCGGAGGAGUGAUUCGUUUCGAGGAACAAAUAAAAAACGCAAGAUUGAUCUUAUACCAAUAUAGAUAAGUUAUCUUCACGUAAAAGUAUCCAGAAAAGUAAUGCGAUGUGAAUUCAAUUUUUGCUAUGUAUGGUUUCAAUUUCGUAGAAUUGCUAUCUUAAAUUCGAAAAAGAUAAACUCGAUGUUAUAUAAAAAAAAAUGUAGAUCAGCAUUAAAUACAAAAGUGUAUUGUAUCGUAUUGAAUUUAAAAUGAUAAAUUUAAAUUAUUCCUCGAAAAACUUAAAACUUUCUCGUUUUAUUUUAUUUUUAAUUUAAGAUAUAUGAUGUUAAUUUAGAAUAUAAUGCUUACAAAAACGCAUAUCUACGCAUUUUCUUGUUAUAUUUUACAUAUUCUUUAUUUUUUAAUAAAAUUUUUUAAUAUUUUUUAUGUUAGAUAUAAAGUGUUAUAUACUUGAAUCUAAUUAAUUUGUAAAUAUUAUGCAAUAAUACAAUGAUGUGCAAAUAUUUUUUAUAGUUAUUGUAAGUAUGCAGAUAAGGUAAAAAAAGACUCCAAGAUCUUAAUAAUACACAAAUUUUAUUUUAUUCAUUUUUUUUUUGUUCCUGCAGAAUCGAGGAAAUCAUUUGUUGAGAGAACAAAACCUCUACAAUACGAAUAGCAGUUACAAGUAAAUAUGUACAAUAAUAUAAGUGGUUGCCUUUCUUUUUUUUCUUUUUUUUGUGAUUUUUGCUUUAUCAUUUGUUUCCUGUUUUUCAUCUGUUUUGUGGUUUAUUACUCCUACUUUCGCACUGUUAAUGAUAAUCGAUAAUGAUAAUCAAUUAAUUAAUUAAGAAUAAUAAUGAUAAUAAUUAUAAGAAUCGUACUGAAUCAGCAUACAUUCAC
rnacentral:lncRNA from 1 species